rnacentral:rRNA from 1 species
AGUUUGAUCCUGGCUCAGGAUGAACGCUGGCGGCGUGCCUAAUACAUGCAAGUCGAGCGAACGGACGAGAAGCUUGCUUCUCUGAUGUUAGCGGCGGACGGGUGAGUAACACGUGGAUAACCUACCUAUAAGACUGGGAUAACUUCGGGAAACCGGAGCUAAUACCGGAUAAUAUUUUGAACCGCAUGGUUCAAAAGUGAAAGACGGUCUUGCUGUCACUUAUAGAUGGAUCCGCGCUGCAUUAGCUAGUUGGUAAGGUAACGGCUUACCAAGGCAACGAUGCAUAGCCGACCUGAGAGGGUGAUCGGCCACACUGGAACUGAGACACGGUCCAGACUCCUACGGGAGGCAGCAGUAGGGAAUCUUCCGCAAUGGGCGAAAGCCUGACGGAGCAACGCCGCGUGAGUGAUGAAGGUCUUCGGAUCGUAAAACUCUGUUAUUAGGGAAGAACAUAUGUGUAAGUAACUGUGCACAUCUUGACGGUACCUAAUCAGAAAGCCACGGCUAACUACGUGCCAGCAGCCGCGGUAAUACGUAGGUGGCAAGCGUUAUCCGGAAUUAUUGGGCGUAAAGCGCGCGUAGGCGGUUUUUUAAGUCUGAUGUGAAAGCCCACGGCUCAACCGUGGAGGGUCAUUGGAAACUGGAAAACUUGAGUGCAGAAGAGGAAAGUGGAAUUCCAUGUGUAGCGGUGAAAUGCGCAGAGAUAUGGAGGAACACCAGUGGCGAAGGCGACUUUCUGGUCUGUAACUGACGCUGAUGUGCGAAAGCGUGGGGAUCAAACAGGAUUAGAUACCCUGGUAGUCCACGCCGUAAACGAUGAGUGCUAAGUGUUAGGGGGUUUCCGCCCCUUAGUGCUGCAGCUAACGCAUUAAGCACUCCGCCUGGGGAGUACGACCGCAAGGUUGAAACUCAAAGGAAUUGACGGGGACCCGCACAAGCGGUGGAGCAUGUGGUUUAAUUCGAAGCAACGCGAAGAACCUUACCAAAUCUUGACAUCCUUUGACAACUCUAGAGAUAGAGCCUUCCCCUUCGGGGGACAAAGUGACAGGUGGUGCAUGGUUGUCGUCAGCUCGUGUCGUGAGAUGUUGGGUUAAGUCCCGCAACGAGCGCAACCCUUAAGCUUAGUUGCCAUCAUUAAGUUGGGCACUCUAAGUUGACUGCCG